AGGAAGUACUGACAAAGAAGAAAAUGGAAAUUGGCUGUAUAUUGAUGUAGAAAGUGAAACGAAUGUCCCUCCACGUUAUGUAUUGAAUUCUACUUUCUUCAAUAUUGCAGUGAACUGAUUCACUCACCAAAAUAAAUUUCAUCCGUGUACAGAACGUCUUUUUGUAUUAAAAAGUUAUGGCUUUACCAGGGCCCAGAUCAACUUACUCUUUGAGCGACGAAACGAAGUUCUGUUUAUACCGAAGUUUUGUUUUCCAAUACAUUCUCCAAGUAGCAGCCGAUAUAUGAAGUAAGUUUGUUGUUGUAGCGACGAAUCAAACUUAGUCAUAGUUGUGGUGCGUCAACGGAUAUACGAUGUGAGUAGGCACAACAACGCGCUACAAGCUAACCACACAAGCCCGACCACAAAGCAUGAAAGCACUAUAACGCGCUUAGAAGGAACUAAGUCAUCCCACUAUUACGUGCAGGACAUGACUGAGAACACUCUCUUUAGUUAUUAUAUAGAUGAACGACAAAAUAUAGAAUAGCAGACAAGAGAUGAAUGGAGCAUAGCAAAAUUGAAUGUAAACUCGUAUGAUUAAAUAUAAUGCAAUAAUAAUAACGAUACGUGGCAAGUGUAUGAUUUCAUGGCGCAACUGCAUAUACCAAGGGACAUAGGGAUCCAAAUCUAACCGUUCUACGGCCCACCGUUAUAUUGUCAUUUUUUUAACAAGCUAUAGAAGACUUAACAAACAAGCAAGACUCAUUUUUUCUUUUAAAUUUUUUAUCGAAGCACUGGUCGAAUAUGUAACGUCUCUAAGUUCAAGGUUUAUUUGAUUCAUGAUAUGUACCGUUAAAGAAGUAUUUUACUGCUGAUCUUUCUCAUGAAAAGAAAAGUCAAAAAGUGGCUUUAAGUUUUAGUCAGUUUAAAUCUCGCUACAAAUCAUGAUAGUUUCUUUUUCUUUCAUCUUCUCUUUAAGACUAUGCUAAUAUUACCUAUACUAUACCCAAAUAAAAAAUUUAUAUAUUAAUCAUAAAGUUAUGAACGAUGUAGUUACAUCGCUGAUGUUUCACUGGUGGACCGGAAGGAAAAGGUCGUUGACUUGGAUGUUGGAGUAAAAACAGUAUUCUUCUUUCUAAACAACGCCUUCAUACUGUUUCGAUAAUCUGGAAGCCUCAGUGCAUACACAAUUGGAUUGACAGCGAAAUUCACCAUGGCAACUGGUUCGUAGUAGUAAGAAAAACGUCCAGCCAAUUCACUUUGUAUUUUUCCAAGCCUUUGAAUAAACUCCACUUGUUUGGCGACAAAAUAAGGAAAUGCAGUUACCAGUAAUAAGACAUUCAGCACAAUGAUUGUCUUUACAAUUUCAAAGUGUUUAGUGUUGUGCUGUUCAGCAUUUACUUUAGUGUCUUGUCGACUUUGCAAUACAACCUUAAGUAUGAAACACUUCAAAAUGAUCUGAAGUAAAACAGCAAUCUCCAAAACAGCAUGUAGCGUGAUAUAAGUGUACAUAACGUGGUCAAAUUUCUCGGCAAAAAUUGAUAUGAGUUCACCAAAUGCCAUGCCAAUGGCAAUCAACCAAACAGUCACGCAUAAUAUGUAUAUUUUUCUGGUAGACAACAUCUGUCGGCUACGUAUGGGAUACUUUGCAAUCAUGUAAGUUUGCCAUGUGAGUGAUGUCAAGUGAAAAAAUGAGCCCGCAGCCCCAAACAUCCAAAAGAAAAGGACAGGAUAAAUGACAGCUUCUGAUGGUUUGACCUCGAACAAUCUACCCAAUCCAACCAUCAUGAAUUGAGACAAAGAUGCAGUGAAAUCAGCUAUAGAUAAGCUUAAGAUGGUAAUCCACGGUCCUCGUCUUAGUUUGUUUAAAGGAUCCUUCACAAUAACAACAAUAAGAAGACCAUUUGUAAGGACACCAACUGUGGAGAUCACCAUUGUUGUUAUUAAUAUAUCUUGAGGAAGUGAGAAACUUUUCUUCGGUUUCUUAUUAAAUACAUAAAUAUAUGUUUAUUAUAUGUUGCAAUGGGACCACCAUUAUUGUUAUUAAUGUUUCAUAACCAAACAAGAUACUCAAAAUGGGUUUGUUCUUCAAUGAAACAUAUAAAAAUUUUAAAUGCAUUGUAAACUGUCAUAUUUCUCAAUGGUGGAGAAGAAAAUUGCAAGGAUUUUAGAAAUGCAUUAAUUCAAUGCUUUAUCUCUUGUCAGUCUAUUUCAUGUCUUUUAGACGUAGUUUUCCACUGCAAGUGUGCAAGUUUUGCACUCAGCAAGUGUUACGAAUUACAGAAUACGGAAGCAUUUCAGAAGCGGAUACACCUCAAGGCUUCGGGGAUGAGUUAUAAAAAUUUCAAAUACGAACUCGCAGAACUGCCAUUUUCUGCAGUCUUUGCUGCAUAUUACGUGCUAGCAAAUGGGGGAAUGUGGAGACUUUUACAGAAGUUGGACAGCAACAAAGAAAUCGCAAAUGUAAUUGUGAAACGGAAAUCAUUUCUGCUGCGCUUGACACGAGGAUUUGAUAUGAUUAUUUAUCAUAUGAUUUUUAUUCUAAGUCGAUUUAAGAUUUCGAGAUGGAGCAUAUGAUAAUAAAUAACUUACAGAAAUUAUGGAGAGGUACAAUUAUUGUAGUUGAUGGUGGUCUUAUAAAUAUUGGAAAUGUUGCAAAUAAUUCUAAAAUCACUGCACAUUAUACUGUGAAGAAGUUUGUAUCUAAAAUAAAAGCGCUAAAGUUCCGCGUGUUUUUUGAUAGAAAAA